CACCAGCAGCCACUAAACUGGAGAGUAGCUGCCAGGAAAGCACUGGUGAAAGAUGUUCGACAAUUGUCACCUCAGCAUCAGACAUUCUCCCUGGAGGCCUACCAUUCCCUCAUUCUGCACUUUGCUCCCAAACACACUGGUUUCUAUUUUCUUUGGAUGUACAGCAGACUUCUCUUGGCGGCCCUACAUUUCAACAGUAAUGGCAGAGAUGUAGCUCAAACCAGUGAGGGUGAGGUAUGCUACGCCGUUCGCUACCCGCAGUUUCGGAAAGGUGGCUGGGUAGUCCGCCCCAUCAAGGAGAAACCAUCCUACGGAUACGCAACAAAUCUUAUGGUCUCUCUGGUAGAGGAAUACUCUAGAUCACCACAGGCCCGACAAGGAAGCAGUGCUGUCUUGUCUUCUGCUGCCCCGCCCCCCCUCACCGCUUCCCUCCAGAAGAUUGCCAAGGAUGAGGCAG